rnacentral:lncRNA from 1 species
AGGAACCAUCAGUAGCAGUCAUGGAAGCUACUACUUCCUGGGAUCAUCCAGCAAAAUCUUCAGUCCUUUCCCAUAUACCUCUCACUGGUUAAACGCUGUUCACUGGCAAGUGAAAUACUAGGAUGCCACUGAAGAGCAUGAUCAGAGAAUACUCUACAACAUUUACCUUUCUGAGCUGGUGUGAUCGACCAAUCAGUGUGGACAAGGAGGACACAGGACCAUCAUCGGAAGUAUCAGAAUUCUGAAGACAGUCUGUGGUGGAGACAUCUCAAGAACAGCUGGCAAUGAAAAAAGGGUGGGGGUCCAGAACCACAACUGUUGUGAACUGAUGAAGGAUUCAAGAAACGGAGUACCUCAAAUUUAAACACACCUG